rnacentral:lncRNA from 1 species
GUUGCCAGGUUCUGGGGGCCUGUGGGCUCUUUCCAGAGAUUCUUUCCAGGUUCUUGUCCUGAACAAAGAACUGGAUAAGACAAAUGAAGCUUUACAUUCGUGAAAGGCUGACAUCAGACUCGCUUGAUUUCACAACAGAACUGAAGACAGCGCUUCCUGAUUGGCCCCAGGUGCAGGGCUCAGGAACUGUUUUUCUGCGCAUGUGUUCUGGAUCUCCUCGAUUGACAGGUCAUGCCCACUUGCUCAGCCGGCUGGCCACGCCCUAGUCUUGCCUCACUUGGACAUGGAACUCAGUGUUCUCAAUGUGCCUGUUGGCAUUCCCUGUCUGUCUGCCCUUCUCUGUAUUAUCCAUUUCUCCCUCCAUCCUCUGCACCCCGUGGUACCUAUGCAGGUUGGUGUCAUGAAGAUGUGGGAUUUGAUGUACUUGACUUGGUAUAAAGAGAUGUUAGACCCUAGGAAGUCACUGAACCUCUCUUGGGCCUAAGUUUCCAAAUCCGUAGAAAUGAAAAUCAUUUUUACUUUUCUAUAAAACUGCUAAGAUGCUCGUCUUAGUCACUUUCCUCAUUACUACAACAAAAUACCACAAUUUAAAAGCAGAGCGGUUUGUUUUGGCUCAUGGUUUCAGAAGGUUCAGUUUGUGUCCAGCAGGCUUAAACACAGGCAGCGUGGUGGAAGGGCCUGCUUUGGGGAGAAGCUGCUCACACCAUGGUGGCAAGAAGUGCAGAGGAGAGAAGUGGGGGACAAGCCCUUCCAGGUCACACCGCUGUCACCCACUGCCAGCCAGGCCCCACCUCCUGUCAGGACCCUCUGUGGCUGGACUCACCUGUAGAUGAAUCCACCAAAGAGCACGGCACCCUGUGAUCCAAUCACCUUCCAAACACAGGAGGCUUUUUGGGGGCCAACUUAGAUCUGAACCUUAACAAUGCUCAAAUGAGAUAUUUAUGAAAGUACUUUGUGAACCUAAAGCUCUCAAGAAUGAUAUUUAUCAAAAAAAAAAAUGGGGGCUGGGGAUUUAGCUCAGUGGUUCCGCUGCUUGCCUUCAAAGCACAGGUCUUGAGUUUGAUCCCCGGUACCAAAAAAAAAAAAAAAAGAAUGAUACUUAUCAUUGUGAAGAUAACAUCAAAUGAGUACCAGAUGAGAGAGAAAGAGGGAGAGAGAAUUAUAUUAUCUUGGAUCAAAGAAGACCCUAAACAGAAUUUUUUUUUACUGGAGAUCGAACUUGUGACCUUUCCCUGUGAGGCAGGCUGUUGAACCACUGAGCUAAAUCCCCUGCCUAAAUAAUAGAGUUCUUCAAGGAGCCAGACAUCCUAGACUAGAUUCUCAUAACAACCAAACUAGAAAGAAAUAAAGAAAAGAAAUUAAAGUUCAUUGCUGAAAAACCAUGUUAUUCAUUUAGCCCCCGUGGGAGGGGGUUAUUUUUCCACAUGAGAGAAGGAAUAUAAUUCAGCUUUUCCCCACCAGACCUUUUGCUGUGUUACCAUGAUUCACGGG